UGGGUUGUGGCUCAGUGGUAGAGCAUUUGCCUCGGGCUUGUGAGGCCCUGGGUUCAAAUCUCAGCACCACAU
rnacentral:tRNA from 1 species